UUUGAUGAAUCUAAUUAAGAAUUAUUAUGAUAUAAUAAAAUUUAUAUGAUAAAUUCAUAUCUUCAAAU
rnacentral:tRNA from 1 species